GGCACUACGGUGCUGAAGCAACAAAUGCCCUGCUUCCAGGAAAAGCCUCUAAGCAUCAGGUAACAUCAAAUCGUACCCCAAACCGACACAGGUGGUCAGGUAGAGAAUACCAAGGCGCUUGAGAGAACUCGGGUGAAGGAACUAGGCAAAAUGGUGCCGUAACUUCGGGAGAAGGCACGCUGAUAUGUAGGUGAAGCGACUUGCUCGUGGAGCUGAAAUCAGUCGAAGAUACCAGCUGGCUGCAACUGUUUAUUAAAAACACAGCACUGUGCAAACACGAAAGUGGACGUAUACGGUGUGACGCCUGCCCGGUGCCGGAAGGUUAAUUGAUGGGGUCAGCGCAAGCGAAGCUCUUGAUCGAAGCCCCGGUAAACGGCGGCCGUAACUAUAACGGUCCUAAGGUAGCGAAAUUCCUUGUCGGGUAAGUUCCGACCUGCACGAAUGGCGUAAUGAUGGCCAGGCUGUCUCCACCCGAGACUCAGUGAAAUUGAACUCGCUGUGAAGAUGCAGUGUACCCGCGGCAAGACGGAAAGACCCCGUGAACCUUUACUAUAGCUUGACACUGAACAUUGAGCCUUGAUGUGUAGGAUAGGUGGGAGGCUUUGAAGUGUGGACGCCAGUCUGCAUGGAGCCGACCUUGAAAUACCACCCUUUAAUGUUUGAUGUUCUAACGUUGACCCGUGAUCCGGGUUGCGGACAGUGUCUGGUGGGUAGUUUGACUGGGGCGGUCUCCUCCUAAAGAGUAACGGAGGAGCACGAAGGUUGGCUAAUCCUGGUCGGACAUCAGGAGGUUAGUGCAAUGGCAUAAGCCAGCUUGACUGCGAGCGUGACGGCGCGAGCAGGUGCGAAAGCAGGUCAUAGUGAUCCGGUGGUUCUGAAUGGAAGGGCCAUCGCUCAACGGAUAAAAGGUACUCCGGGGAUAACAGGCUGAUACCGCCCAAGAGUUCAUAUCGACGGCGGUGUUUGGCACCUCGAUGUCGGCUCAUCACAUCCUGGGGCUGAAGUAGGUCCCAAGGGUAUGGCUGUUCGCCAUUUAAAGUGGUACGCGAGCUGGGUUUAGAACGUCGUGAGACAGUUCGGUCCCUAUCUGCCGUGGGCGCUGGAGAACUGAGGGGGGCUGCUCCUAGUACGAGAGGACCGGAGUGGACGCAUCACUGGUGUUCGGGUUGUCAUGCCAAUGGCACUGCCCGGUAGCUAAAUGCGGAAGAGAUAAGUGCUGAAAGCAUCUAAGCACGAAACUUGCCCCGAGAUGAGUUCUCCCUGACUCCUUGAGAGUCCUGAAGGAACGUUGAAGACGACGACGUUGAUAGGCCGGGUGUGUAAGCGCAGCGAUGCGUUGAGCUAACCGGUACUAAUGAACCGUGAGGCUUAACCUUACAAC
rnacentral:rRNA from 1 species